rnacentral:ncRNA from 1 species
ACCGAAAAAGGCAAACCCGUCGCGAGGCGGGGACGCAAAGCUCCCGGGACCCCUGAGGUCGGCCGAGCUACCGAAA